UUUGAUUCAUAAUAACUAAUCGAAUCGCAGAGACUUUUAGUCGGCGAUGAUACAUACAAAUUUCUGCCCUAUCAACUUUCGAUGGUAGUAUAGAGGACUACCAUGGUUAUAACGGGUAACGGGGAAUUAGGGUUCGAUUCCGGAGAGGGGGCCUGAGAGAUGGCCACCACUUCCAAGGAAGGCAGCAGGCGCGCAAAUUACCCAAUCCCAAUUCGGGGAGGUAGUGACAAGAAAUACCAGUACAGGGCCCAAUGGGUACUGUGAUUGGAAUGAAUACAAUUUAAAAACCUUAAUGAGGAACGAUUGGAGGGCAAGUCUGGUGCCAGCAGCCGCGGUAAUUCCAGCUCCAAUAGUGUAUAUUAAAGUUGCUGCAGUUAAAAAGCUCGUAGUUGGAUUUCGGAUAAUAAAAAUUUAAUAUCCAUCCUUAAAAUGUGAUUUAAUUUUUAUUUCCUUCCUUUUGAAUACACUCCCUAAACUCUUUUAGGGAAUUAAGUGUUUCAAAUCGUUUACUGUGAAGAAAUUAGAGUGUUCAAAGCAGGCGUAACCUAGCCUUUGAAUAUAUUAGCAUGGGAUAAUGAAAUAGGACUUUAGUCCUACUCUCGUUGGUUUCUAGGGCUGAAGUAAUGAUUAAUAGGGAUAGUUGGGGUCACUAGUAUUUAAUUGUCAGAGGUGAAAUUCUAAGAUUUAUUAAAGACUAACUACUGCGAAAGCAUUUGACAAGGAUGUUUUCAUUAAUCAAGAACGAAAGUUGGGGGAUCGAAGAUGAUCAGAUACCGUCGUAGUCUCAACCAUAAACUAAGCCGACCAAGGAUCCGGGGUUGUUAAUAUGGAUGACUCUCCGGGCACUUAUAGAGAAAUCAUAAGUAUUUGGGCUCCGGGGGGAGUAUGGUCGCAAGGCUGAAACUUAAAGGAAUUGACGGAAGGGCACCACAAGGAGUGGAACCUGCGGUUUAAUUUGACCCAACACGGGGAAACUUACCAGGUCCAGACACAGUGAGGAUUGACAGAUUGAGAGUUCUUUCUUGAUUCUGUGAGUGGUGGUGCAUGGCCGUUUCUAGUUGGUGGAGUGAUUUGUCUGGUUAAUUCCGUUAACGAACGAGACCUUAACCUAUUAAAUAGUUGUUUGAACUUGAUUUUUUAAAUCAAAUGUUCAUUUAACUUCUUAGAGGGACUCUUCACUGAGAGAGUGAAUGGAAGUUUGAGGCAAAAACAGGUCUGUGAUGCCCUUAGAUGUUCGAAAA
rnacentral:rRNA from 1 species